UGCAGUUGAGCGUACCCAGCAAUGGGGAGCAGCGUAAGGGGCAGUAAGGCAUGGGUAUCUACCCGGGGAUCGGGCAUAGCCUGUAGAGAUACAGGGUAAUUCCCGAUGAUGUCGCAAGACCAAAGCUCCGGCGUCCCUGGAGGAGCCCAUGUGAUAUUAGCUAGUUGGUGGGGUAACGGCCUACCAAGGCGAAGAUGUCUAGCGGGUGUGAGAGCACGACCCGCGCCACUGGCACUGAGACACUGGCCAGACACCUACGGGUGGCUGCAGUCGAGGAUCUUCGGCAAUGGGCGCAAGCCUGACCGAGCGAGGCCGCGUGGGCGAUGAAGGCCUUCGGGUUGUAAAGCCCUGUCGAGGGGGAGAAAAGCCGCAAGGCGUGAUCUAUCCCUGGAGGAAGCACGGGCUAAGUUCGUGCCAGCAGCCGCGGUAAGACGAACCGUGCGAACGUUGUUCGGAAUCACUGGGCUUAAAGGGCGCGUAGGCGGGCUAUCAAGUCCGGGGUGAAAUCCUCCAGCUCAACUGGAGAACUGCCUCGGAUACUGAUGGUCUCGAGGAGGAUAGGGGCACACGGAACUGUGGGUGGAGCGGUGAAAUGCGUUGAUAUCCAUAGGAACUCCGGUGGCGAAAGCGGUGUGCUGGAUCCUUUCUGACGCUGAGGCGCGAAAGCCAGGGGAGCAAACGGGAUUAGAUACCCCGGUAGUCCUGGCCCUAAACGUUGGGUACUAGGUAGUAGACUAGACAUGGGUUUACUUCCGAAGCAAAAGUGCUAAGUACCCCGCCUGGGGAGUAUGGUCGCAAGGCUGAAACUCAAAGGAAUUGACGGGGGCUCACACAAGCGGUGGAGCAUGUGGCUUAAUUCGAGGCAACGCGAAAAACCUUACCUGGGGUUUGACAUGUGC
rnacentral:rRNA from 1 species